UCAGCGACUUAUAUUCUGUAGCAAGGUUAACCGUAUAGGGGAGCCGCAGGGAAACCGAGUCUUAACUGGGCGUUAAGUUGCAGGGUAUAGACCCGAAACCCGGUGAUCUAGCCAUGGGCAGGUUGAAGGUUGGGUAACACUAACUGGAGGACCGAACCGACUAAUGUUGAAAAAUUAGCGGAUGACUUGUGGCUGGGGGUGAAAGGCCAAUCAAACCGGGAGAUAGCUGGUUCUCCCCGAAAGCUAUUUAGGUAGCGCCUCGUGAAUUCAUCUUCGGGGGUAGAGCACUGUUUCGGCUAGGGGGUCAUCCCGACUUACCAACCGAUGCAAACUACGAAUACCGAAGAAUGUUAUCACGGGAGACACACGGCGGGUGCUAACGUCCGUCGUGAAGAGGGAAACAACCCAGACCGCCAGCUAAGGUCCCAAAGUCAUGGUUAAGUGGGAAACGAUGUGGGAAGGCACAGACAGCCAGGAUGUUGGCUUAGAAGCAGCCAUCAUUUAAAGAAAGCGUAAUAGCUCACUGGUCGAGUCGGCCUGCGCGGAAGAUGUAACGGGGCUAAACCAUGCACCGAAGCUGCGGCAGCGACACUAUGUGUUGUUGGGUAGGGGAGCGUUCUGUAAGCCUGCGAAGGUGUGCUGUGAGGCAUGCUGGAGGUAUCAGAAGUGCGAAUGCUGACAUAAGUAACGAUAAAGCGGGUGAAAAGCCCGCUCGCCGGAAGACCAAGGGUUCCUGUCCAACGUUAAUCGGGGCAGGGUGAGUCGACCCCUAAGGCGAGGCCGAAAGGCGUAGUCGAUGGGAAACAGGUUAAUAUUCCUGUACUUGGUGUUACUGCGAAGGGGGGACGGAGAAGGCUAUGUUAGCCGGGCGACGGUUGUCCCGGUUUAAGCAUGUAGGCUGAUUGUCCAGGCAAAUCCGGAUAAUCAAGGCUGAGGUGUGAUGACGAGGCACUACGGUGCUGAAGUAACAAAUGCCCUGCUUCCAGGAAAAGCCUCUAAGCAUCAGGUAACAUCAAAUCGUACCCCAAACCGACACAGGUGGUCAGGUAGAGAAUACCAAGGCGCUUGAGAGAACUCGGGUGAAGGAACUAGGCAAAAUGGUGCCGUAACUUCGGGAGAAGGCACGCUGGUGUGUAGGUGAAGUCCCUGCGGAUGGAGCUGAGACCAGUCGAAGAUACCAGCUGGCUGCAACUGUUUAUUAAAAACACAGCACUGUGCAAACACGAAAGUGGACGUAUACGGUGUGACGCCUGCCCGGUGCCGGAAGGUUAAUUGAUGGGGUUAUCCGUAAGGAGAAGCUCUUGAUCGAAGCCCCGGUAAACGGCGGCCGUAACUAUAACGGUCCUAAGGUAGCGAAAUUCCUUGUCGGGUAAGUUCCGACCUGCACGAAUGGCGUAAUGAUGGCCAGGCUGUCUCCACCCGAGACUCAGUGAAAUUGAACUCGCUGUGAAGAUGCAGUGUACCCGCGGCAAGACGGAAAGACCCCGUGAACCUUUACUAUAGCUUGACACUGAACAUUGAGCCUUGAUGUGUAGGAUAGGUGGGAGGCUUUGAAGCGUGGACGCCAGUCUGCGUGGAGCCAACCUUGAAAUACCACCCUUUAAUGUUUGAUGUUCUAACGUUGGCCCCUUACCGGGGUUGCGGACAGUGUCUGGUGGGUAGUUUGACUGGGGCGGUCUCCUCCCAAAGCGUAACGGAGGAGCACGAAGGUUAGCUAAUCCUGGUCGGACAUCAGGAGGUUAGUGCAAUGGCAUAAGCUAGCUUGACUGCGAGCGUGACGGCGCGAGCAGGUGCGAAAGCAGGUCAUAGUGAUCCGGUGGUUCUGAAUGGAAGGGCCAUCGCUCAACGGAUAAAAGGUACUCCGGGGAUAACAGGCUGAUACCGCCCAAGAGUUCAUAUCGACGGCGGUGUUUGGCACCUCGAUGUCGGCUCAUCACAUCCUGGGGCUGAAGUAGGUCCCAAGGGUAUGGCUGUUCGCCAUUUAAAGUGGUACGCGAGCUGGGUUUAGAACGUCGUGAGACAGUUCGGUCCCUAUCUGCCGUGGGCGCUGGAGAAUUGAGGGGGGCUGCUCCUAGUACGAGAGGACCGGAGUGGACGCAUCACUGGUGUUCGGGUUGUCAUGCCAAUGGCACUGCCCGGUAGCUAAAUGCGGAAGAGAUAAGUGCUGAAAGCAUCUAAGCACGAAACUUGCCCCGAGAUGAGUUCUCCCUGAGACUUUAAGUCUCCUGAAGGAACGUUGAAGACGACGACGUUGAUAGGCCGGGUGUGUAAGCGCAGCGAUGCGUUGAGCUAACCGGUACUAAUGAACCGUGAGGCUUAACCUUACAACGCCGAAG
rnacentral:rRNA from 1 species